UACGUAGGUGGCAAGCGUUGUCCGGAUUUAUUGGGUUUAAAGGGUGCGUAGGCGGUCUAUUAAGUCAGUUGUGAAAUACGGCAGCUCAACUGUCGAGGUGCAAUUGAUACUGAUGGACUUGAGUACUGAUGAGGUAAGCGGAAUGGACGGUGUAGCAGUGAAAUGCUUAGAUAUCGUCCAGAACACCGAUAGCGAAGGCAGCUUACUAAGGAGUAACUGACGCUGAGGCACGAAAGUGUGGGGAUCAAACAGG
rnacentral:rRNA from 1 species